rnacentral:rRNA from 1 species
UAGUCUUUUCAUUGAAGAAUAGAAUGAAUGGUUUCACCGACUUUCCAUUUCCUAUAUAACCUUGAAUUUUUAUUUUAAUGAAAAGAUUAAAAUUAUUUUUUUAGACGAUAAGACCCUAUGAAGCUUUACUAAUAUUUAGUUUUUUUGGGGCAAACAAAAAAUUUGUUAUUUUCUUGUUGUUAAAUUCUGAUCUUAAAAAAUUUAAAGAAAAAGCUACUCUAGGGAUAACAGCAUUAUUUUUAUUAAAGUUCUUAUUAAAUUAAAAGUUUGUGACCUCGAUGUUGAAUUAAGGAAGAUAAUUUGUGUAGCAGCUAAUUAUUUUUAGUCUGUUCGACUAAUUCUCCUU